GGCGAUUGUCGGACUAGUCGCU
rnacentral:miRNA from 11 species